CGGGGUGCACUGAUCCGGCCCGGGCCUUUCCCUCUGUGGAACCCCAUGGCCUUCACUGGCUGUGCGGGGGAAACAGGACUUUUACUGUGAAAAAAUUAGAGUGCUCCAGGCAGGCCUAUGCUCGAAUACAUUAGCAUGGAAUAAUAGAAUAGGACGCGUGGUUCUAUUUUGUUGGUUUCUAGGACCGCCGUAAUGAUUAAUAGGGACAGUCGGGGGCAUCAGUAUUCAAUUGUCAGAGGUGAAAUUCUUGGAUCUAUUGAAGACUAACUACUGCGAAAGCAUUUGCCAAGGAUGUUUUCAUUGAUAAGGAACGAAAGUUAGGGGAUCGAAGACGAUCAGAUACCGUCGUAGUCUUAACUAUAAACUAUGCCGACUAGGGAUCGGACGAUGUUAUUUCUUGACGCGUUCGGCACCUUUCGAGAAAUCAAAGUGCUUGGGCUCCAGGGGGAGUAUGGUCGCAAGGCUGAAACUUAAAGAAAUUGACGGAAGGGCACCACCAGGGGUGGAACCUGCGGCUUAAUUUGACUCAACACGGGGAAACUCACCAGGUCCAGACACAGUGAGGAUUGACAGAUUGAGAGCUCUUUCUUGAUUCUGUGGGUGGUGGUGCAUGGCCGUUCUUAGUUGGUGGAGUGAUUUGUCUGCUUAAUUGCGAUAACGAACGAGACCUUAACCUGCUAAAUAGCCCGUACUGCUCUGGCAGUUCGCCGGCUUCUUAGAGGGACUAUCGG
rnacentral:rRNA from 1 species